UCCGUAGGUGGAUAAUUAAGUCAGAGGUGAAAUCCUGCAGCUCAACUGUAGAAUUGCCUUUGAUACUGGUUAUCUUGAGUCAUUAUGAAGUGGUUAGAAUGUGUAGUGUAGCGGUGAAAUGCAUAGAUAUUACACAGAAUACCGAUUGCGAAGGCGGAUCACUAAUAAUGUACUGACACUGAGGGACGAAAGCGUGGGGAGCGAACAGGAUUAGAUACCCUGGUAGUCC
rnacentral:rRNA from 1 species